CCUAAUACAUGCAAGUCGAACGCUUCUUUCCUCCCGAGUGCUUGCACUCAAUUGGAAAGAGGAGUGGCGGACGGGUGAGUAACACGUGGGUAACCUACCCAUCAGAGGGGGAUAACACUUGGAAACAGGUGCUAAUACCGCAUAACAGUUUAUGCCGCAUGGCAUAAGAGUGAAAGGCGCUUUCGGGUGUCGCUGAUGGAUGGACCCGCGGUGCAUUAGCUAGUUGGUGAGGUAACGGCUCACCAAGGCCACGAUGCAUAGCCGACCUGAGAGGGUGAUCGGCCACACUGGGACUGAGACACGGCCCAGACUCCUACGGGAGGCAGCAGUAGGGAAUCUUCGGCAAUGGACGAAAGUCUGACCGAGCAACGCCGCGUGAGUGAAGAAGGUUUUCGGAUCGUAAAACUCUGUUGUUAGAGAAGAACAAGGACGUUAGUAACUGAACGUCCCCUGACGGUAUCUAACCAGAAAGCCACGGCUAACUACGUGCCAGCAGCCGCGGUAAUACGUAGGUGGCAAGCGUUGUCCGGAUUUAUUGGGCGUAAAGCGAGCGCAGGCGGUUUCUUAAGUCUGAUGUGAAAGCCCCCGGCUCAACCGGGGAGGGUCAUUGGAAACUGGGAGACUUGAGUGCAGAAGAG
rnacentral:rRNA from 1 species